ACCAUGGGUGUAAAGGGUAUAAAUAGACGUGUUGGUGUCACUAGUAGACAUUAAUAGACAGAUUCAGUAAAGGUUCAGAUCUAGAGUUUAGUUAUAUUGUCAUCAUGAAGUGUGUCAUAUUUUUAGUGAUUGUCGCUACCUUGUACUUGACAUCAGCUGAAGAAAAUGAAGUUGAUUCUAAUCUGAGGAAAGCCAUGGAGGCCAUUAAUACUAUUGUCAAGAGAAGUUCCGAAGAAUCUGCCAACAUUGAAAAACGAGAGAAAGGUAUUCAUGUAAACGGGCGCUGCAGUAGUCUACUUGAAGACUGCAGCAGUGUACAACAUUGCUGUGGUGCAUUGGAGUGCCGAACGACAAAUGGAUAUUAUGGUUUUUUUGGUGGAAACUGCCGUGCACCAUAACAAAUUCUUUUAUAUGUUAAGUGUUUGUUAAGUAUUUACAUGAAUUUGAACGAAUAAAAAAUCGUGUUUUUUUUAA